GGUCCUUUAGCUCAGCGGUAGAGCGAGAGAUUGCAGCUCUGCAGCUAUCUCUAGGUCGUGUGUUCGAUCCACACAGGGACCU